CAGCAGUGGGGAAUAUUGGACAAUGGGCGAAAGCCUGAUCCAGCCAUGCCGCGUGUGUGAAGAAGGUCUUCGGAUUGUAAAGCACUUUAAGUUGGGAGGAAGGGCUGUAGCUUAAUACUNUACAAUUUUGACGUUACCGACAGAAUAAGCACCGGCUAACUCUGUGCCAGCAGCCGCGGUAAUACAGAGGGUGCAAGCGUUAAUCGGAAUUACUGGGCGUAAAGCGCGCGUAGGUGGUUUGUUAAGUUGGAUGUGAAAUCCCCGGGCUCAACCUGGGAACUGCAUUCAAAACUGACUGACUAGAGUAUGGUAGAGGGUGGUGAAUUUCCUGUGUAGCGGUGAAAUGCGUAGAUAUAGGAAGCCACACCAGUGGCGAAGGCGACCAC
rnacentral:rRNA from 1 species